rnacentral:rRNA from 1 species
CUGGGCGUAAGCGUGCGCAGGCGGUUUGUUAAGACCGAUGUGAAAUCCCCGGGCUCAACCUGGGAACUGCAUUGGUGACUGGCAAGCUAGAGUAUGGCAGAGGGGGGUAGAAUUCCACGUGUAGCAGUGAAAUGCGUAGAGAUGUGGAGGAAUACCGAUGGCGAAGGCAGCCCCCUGGGCCAAUACUGACGCUCAUGCACGAAAGCGUGGGGAGCAAACAGGAUUAGAAACCCCGG